AACAGGAUUAGAUACCCUGGUAGUCCACGCCGUAAACGAUGUCGACUUGGAGGCUGUUCCCUUGAGGAGUGGCUUCCGGAGCUAACGCGUUAAGUCGACCGCCUGGGGAGUACGGCCGCAAGGUUAAAACUCAAAUGAAUUGACGGGGGCCCGCACAAGCGGUGGAGCAUGUGGUUUAAUUCGAUGCAACGCGAAGAACCUUACCUGGCCUUGACAUCCAGAGAACUUUCCAGAGAUGGAUUGGUGCCUUCGGGAACUCUGAGACAGGUGCUGCAUGGCUGUCGUCAGCUCGUGUUGUGAAAUGUUGGGUUAAGUCCCGCAACGAGCGCAACCCUUAUCCUUUGUUGCCAGCGAUUCGGUCGGGAACUCAAAGGAGACUGCCGGUGAUAAACCGGAGGAAGGUGGGGAUGACGUCAAGUCAUCAUGGCCCUUACGGCCAGGGCUACACACGUGCUACAAUGGCGCAUACAAAGAGAAGCGACCUCGCGAGAGCAAGCGGACCUCAUAAAGUGCGUCGUAGUCCGGAUCGGAGUCUGCAACUCGACUCCGUGAAGUCGGAAUCGCUAGUAAUCGUGGAUCAGAACGCCACGGUGAAUACGUUCCCGGGCCUUGUACACACCGCCCGUCACACCAUGGGAGUGGGUUGCAAAAGAAGUAGGUAGCUUAACCUCCGGGAGGGCGCUUACCACUUUGUGAUUCAUGACUGGGGUGAAGUCGUAACAAGGUACC
rnacentral:rRNA from 1 species